CCUACGGGUGGCAGCAGUCGAGAAUUAUUCACAAUGGGGGAAACCCUGAUGGUGCGACGCCGCGUGGGGGAAUGAAGGUCUUCGGAUUGUAAACCCCUGUCAUGUGGGAGCAAAUUAAAAAGAUAGUACCACAAGAGGAAGAGACGGCUAACUCUGUGCCAGCAGCCGCGGUAAUACAGAGGUCUCAAGCGUUGUUCGGAAUCACUGGGCGUAAAGCGUGCGUAGGCUGUUUCGUAAGUCGUGUGUGAAAGGCGCGGGCUCAACCCGCGGACGGCACAUGAUACUGCGAGACUAGAGUAAGGGAGGGGGAACCGGAAUGCUCGGUGUAGCAGUGAAAUGCGUAGAUAUCGAGAGGAACACUCGUGGCGAAGGCGGGUUCCUGGACAUUAACUGACGCUGAGGCACGAAGGCCAGGGGAGCGAAAGGGAUUAGAUACCCGAGUAGUC
rnacentral:rRNA from 1 species